rnacentral:rRNA from 1 species
CAGCAGCCGCGGUAAUACGAAGGGUGCAAGCGUUACUCGGAAUUACUGGGCGUAAAGCGUGCGUAGGCGGUUUGUUAAGUCCGUUGUGAAAGCCCUGGGCUCAACCUGGGAAUUGCAGUGGAUACUGGCAAGCUAGAGUACGGUAGAGGAUGGUGGAAUUCCCGGUGUAGCGGUGAAAUGCGUAGAGAUCGGGAGGAACACCCGUGGCGAAGGCGGCCAUCUGGACCAGUACUGACGCUGAGGCACGAAAGCGUGGGGAGCAAACAGGAUUAGAUACCCUGGUAGUCCACGCCGUAAACGAUGAGAACUAGAUGUCGGGGGGGAUUAGCCCCUCGGUGUCGUAGCUAACGCGCUAAGUUCUCCGCCUGGGGAGUACGGCCGCAAGGUUGAAACUCAAAG